UACAGAGGGUGCGAGCGUUAAUCGGAAUUACUGGGCGUAAAGCGCGCGUAGGCGGCUUGUUAAGUCAAAUGUGAAAUCCCCGAGCUUAACUUGGGCAUUGCAUUCGAUACUGGCAAGCUAGAGUAUGGGAGAGGAAGGUAGAAUUCCAGGUGUAGCGGUGAAACGCGUAGAGAUCUGGAGGAAUACCGAUGGCGAAGGCAGCCUUCUGGCCUAAUACUGACGCUGAGGUGCGAAAGCAUGGGGAGCAAACAGG
rnacentral:rRNA from 1 species